AUGAGGAGGAGAGGAGGACUUUAUAUCACCAGGAGGACUUUAUAUCAUCAGGAGGAGGAGAGGAGGACUUUAAUAUCAUCAGGAGGAGGAGAGGAGGACUUUAUAUCAUCAGGAGGAGGAGAGGAGGACUUUAUAUCCUCAGGAGGAGGAGAGGAGGACUUUAUAUCCUCAGGAGGAGGAGAGGAGGACUUUAUAUCAUCAGGAGGGAGGAGAGGAGGACUUUAUAUCAUCAGGAGAGAGGAGGACUUUAUAUCAUCAGGAGGAGGAGAGGUAGGACUUUAUAUCCUCAGGAGGAGGAGAGGAGGACUACUUUAUAUCAAUCAGGAGGAGAGGAGGAAUUUAUAUCAUCAGGAGGAGAGGGAGGACUUAUAUCAUCAGGAGGAGAGGAGGGACUUUAUAUCAUCAGGAGGAGGAGAGAGGAACUUUAUAUUCUCAGGAGGAGGAAGGAGGACUUUAUAUCAUCAGGAGGAGGAGAGGAGGACUUUAUAUCAUCAGGAGGAGAGGAGGACUUUAUAUCAUCAGGAGGAGAGGAGGACUUUAUAUCAUCAGGAGGAGGAGAGGAGGACUUUAUAUCAUCAGGAGGAGGAGAGGAGGACUUUAUAUCAUCAGGAGGAGAGGAGAGGACUUUAUAUAUCAUCAGGAGGAGGAGAGGAGGACUUUAUAUCAUCAGGAGGAGGAGGAAGGAGGACUUUAUAUCAUCAGGAGGAGAGGAGGACUUUAUAUCAUCAGGAGGAGAGAGGACUUUAUAUCAUCAGGAGGAGAGGAGGACUUUAUAUCAUCAGGAGGAGGAGAGAGGACUUUAUAUCAUCAGGAGGAGGAGAGGAGGACUUUAUAUCAUCAGAGGAGGAGAGGAGGACUUUAUAUCAUCAGGAGGAGGAGGAGGACUUUAUAUCAUCAGGAGGAGAGGAGGACUUAUAUCAUAGGAGGAGGAGAGAUGACUUUAUAUCAUCAGGAGGAGAGGAGGACUUUAUAUCAUCAGGAGGAGGAGAGGAGGACUUUAUAUCAUCAGGAGGAGGAGAGGAGGACUUUAUAUCAUCAGGAGGAGGAGGAGGACUUUAUAUCAUCAGGAGGAGAGGAGGACUUUAUAUCAUCAGGAGGAGGAGAGGAGGACUUAUAUCAUCAGGAGGAGAGGAGGACUUUAUAUCAUCAGGAGGAGGAGAGGAGGACUUUAUAUCAUCAGGAGGAGGAGAGGAGGACUUUAUAUCAUCAGGAGGAGAGGAGGACUUUAUAUCAUCAGGAGGAGAGGAGGACUUUAUAUCAUCAGGAGGAGGAGAGGAGGACUUAUAUCAUCAGGAGGAGAGGAGGACUUUAUAUCAUCAGGAGGAGGAGAGGAGGACUUUAUAUCAUCAGGAGGAGGAGAGGAGGACUUUAUAUCAUCAGGAGGAGGAGAGGAGGACUUUAUAUCAUCAGGAGGAGGGAGAGGACUUUAUAUCCUCAGGAGGAGAGAGGAGGACUUUAUAUCAUCAGGAGGAGGAGAGGAGGACUUUAUAUCAUCAGGAGGAGGAGAGGAGGACUUUAUAUCAUCAGGAGGAGGAGAGGAGGACUUUAUAUCAUCAGGAGGAGAGGAGGACUUUAUAUCAUCAGGAGGAGGAGAGAGGACUUUAUAUCAUCAGGAGGAGGAGAGGAGGACUUAUAUCAUUCAGGAGGAGAGGAGGACUUUAUAUCAUCAGGAGGAGGAGAGGAGGACUUUAUAUCAUCAGGAGGAGGAGAGGAGGACUUUAUAUCAUCAGGAGGAGAGGAGGACUUUACUUUAUGAGGUGA
rnacentral:lncRNA from 1 species